rnacentral:pre_miRNA from 16 species
CAGAGCUGUGGAGUGUGACAAUGGUGUUUGUGUCCAAACUAUCAAACGCCAUUAUCACACUAAAUAGCUACUGU